rnacentral:rRNA from 1 species
GACGAACGCUGGCGGCGUGCUUAACACAUGCAAGUCGAACGGAAAGGCCUCUUUCGGGGGGUACUCGAGUGGCGAACGGGUGAGUAACACGUGAGUAACCUGCCCUUGACUUUGGGAUAACUUCAGGAAACUGGGGCUAAUACCGGAUAGGAGCUCCUGCUGCAUGGUGGGGGUUUGAAAGGUUCGGCGGUUGGGGAUGGACUCGCGGCUUAUCAGCUUGUUGGUGGGGUAGUGGCUUACCAAGGCUUUGACGGGUAGCCGGCCUGAGAGGGUGACCGGCCACAUUGGGACUGAGAUACGGCCCAGACUCCUACGGGAGGCAGCAGUGGGGAAUAUUGCACAAUGGGUGGAAGCCUGAUGCAGCAACGCCGUGUGCGGGAUGACGGCCUUCGGGUUGUAAACCGCUUUCGCUCAUGACGAAGCUUUGUGUGACGGUAGUGGGUAAAGAAGCACCGGCUAACUACGUG